rnacentral:rRNA from 1 species
CCUACGGGUGGCAGCAGUGAGGAAUAUUGGUCAAUGGGCGCGAGCCUGAACCAGCCAAGUCGCGUGAGGGAAGACGGUCCUAUGGAUUGUAAACCUCUUUUGUCGGGGAGCAAAAGACGCCACGCGUGGCGCUCCGAGAGUACCCGAAGAAAAAGCAUCGGCUAACUCCGUGCCAGCAGCCGCGGUAAUACGGAGGAUGCGAGCGUUAUCCGGAUUUAUUGGGUUUAAAGGGUGCGCAGGCGGAAGAUUAAGUCAGCGGUAAAAUUGGGGGGAUCAACCUCUUCGAGCCGGUGAAACUGGUUUGCUGGAGUGAGCGAGAGGUAUGCGGAAGGCGUGGUGUAGCGGUGAAAUGCAUAGAUAUCACGCAGAACUCCGAUUGCGAAGGCAGCAUACCGGCGCUCAACUGACGCUCAUGCACGAAAGUGUGGGUAUCGAACAGGAUUAGAUACCCGAGUAGUC